rnacentral:rRNA from 1 species
AAAAACAUUGCUUUUUGAAAUAAAUAUAAAAAGUAAUUCCUGCCCAGUGACACAAGUUCAACGGCCGCGGUAUCCUAACCGUGCAAAGGUAGCAUAAUCACUUGCCCAUUAAUUGUGGGCUAGAAUGAAAGGAUUAACGAAAUAAAAGCUGUCUCUGUAAGAAAUAUAAAAAUUAAUCUCUAAUUGAAGAGUAUUAGAUUUAACUGAAGGACAAGAAGACCCUAUAGAGCUUUAUCAAAAUGAAAAACAAAAUAUUCACUAAGAUUCGGUUGGGGCGACCAGGGAAUUUAUAUAUCAUCCCUCAUAACACGAUAAAUUUAUCAAUAUAAAGACCCUUAAUCAAGAUCUAAAAAACAAGCUACCUUAGGGAUAACAGGCUAAUCCCAUUAAAGAGUCCUUAUCUACAAUGGGGUUUGGCACCUCGAUGUUGGCUUAGGGUAUCAGUACGGCGCAAAAGUCCUACAUUGAUGGUUUGUUCAACCAAUAAUCCCCUACAUGAUCU